rnacentral:rRNA from 1 species
UACGUAGGGGGCAAGCGUUAUCCGGAUUUACUGGGUGUAGAGGGAGCGUAGACGGCGAUGCAAGCCAGAUGUGAAAGCCCGGGGCUCAACCCCGGGACUGCAUUUGGAACUGUAUAGCUAGAGUGUCGGAGAGGCAGGCGGAAUUCCUAGUGUAGCGGUGAAAUGCGUAGAUAUUAGGAGGAACACCAGUGGCGAAGGCGGCCUGCUGGACGAUGGCCGACGUUGAGGCUCGAAAGCGUGGGGAGCAAACA